CCCCCACUCAAUGGGGAGUUGGCUUGAGAUUCUCUCGCUUCCUCUCCUGCCUCCCCCACGUGCUGUCUCUGUCUCUCUCUAAAAUAAUUUUUUUUUUUUAAGAAAAUGCUAGGAUUCCUUGAACAUUCUGAGCUUGGUGUUCCCUACCAUCCAGUCCUGCACUUGCUCUGAAGUAUCCUAAGCCUCAUAAAAUUAUCACCUCUCUCUUCCUCAGUCUACAAACAUUUGUAGCUUCAACUAUAACUGUAGUGAUGCAGUGACCUAAUAAGGGAGGGCAUGAGAAUAAAUCUAGACCCUAGUAAGACUAGUAAGGAAGCCACCUUGCUUGGAAGGCCAACUGAGAUGUCUUGGCUCCAAAACUUUGUUUCUGCAGCUUCACCUUUUCUUUGAAAGUAAUUGCUGCCAAUAUUGGAGGGGUGAGGUGCAAAAUGUCAUUCCUUAACACUCUGACCUAAGCUUGGAAAAUCAACCCCUUUUUUACUGCCCGACAGUACAGCUGAGAUAGCCGAGAUGAUAACAGUUUUUUUAAAAAAAAUAUACAUAUAUAUACUUAACGAUGACAACUUUUCUGACACAUGCCAGCCCUUUAUAAGUAAUAUUUCUUAUUUAAUCCAUUCAAUGUAACUACAGUGGGAGCUACUUACUAUUACUUCUCUGUUUUACAGAUGAGGAACAGAGAGGUAGAAUAUAAGUAAUGUAUCUGUCAGUUACACAGCUAGCAAACUCCCGCCCGAGGAGUCUGACUUCACUGUUCGUCCUUUCAACGCUGUACUACUAUAUUAGUUCUUAAGACAAUUUACUAAAGUCUGUAAGGAUUCAAAAACAAAUCCAUUGUGUGAUUUGUAACUAGAUAUUCUGGUUAUGGCCCUGUUCUAUCUACGUAGUAACCUAGGAGAAAAGGUGUUUCCUGUUACGUUCUGCCCUACCACCAGAUCAUGGUUGUGUUGGUGCCUGUUACCCAAACCUAAUAUACAGGGCCUGGAAGUCUACCUUCCUCAAAGACCAGACUCAAGUAGCUACAGUGAACAGUUGAGCCCUUAACCCAUCUACCCAAAGCCUAGCUUCCUUGUUUCCUGGCUGACAGCUAACUCAGAUGAAUGAGGCUGACAGUGACUUCCUUGUUCAUGCCUAAGAACAGCAGCCUCAAAAGGCAUAACUUUAGUCUUGUGAGUUUAACAGCAAAAAUAUAGCGGAAUAUAAUGCAGUUUCAGCAUCCCUGAAGAAAGGUGCAUGCAUGUAAUACACAUAUGGAGAUAUAUUUUGCCUGUUCGUACUUGAUGAUUAAUUUUUGUUAGUAAAAUCUUGACCACCAUUUCCAAAAUCAAUCUUUCCUAUAGUGCUAACCAUUUCUGUAAAUCAUUUAGAAAAUAAGAGUAGCUACCAAUUUUUAAUUUGCUUAUUAUUUAUAUUUUAUAUGAAACUUUGGAAAUAUAAAAUUCUCUCAAGCUUUUUGUUAAGUUUGUAAAAAAUAGUCCUAAAAUGUAUGUCUUUUUUAAAGUGUUAAUCAAAUUUUUCAUGAUACCUUAUGAAUAAAAUAUGGUCCAGAUGCUAGCAUUGUUUGGUAGAGUUUGAAACUACAUGAACCUUUUCUAAAGAUUGUUAAUUCUAUUUCAUUGAUUCUAUUUCAUUGUGAAAGUAGAUUUCUAGCUGGAUUCUAUAGUCUACAAGCCCAUGUCCCAUAUUAUUACUAAUUUUCAUAUAGAAGAAAUGAUUACAUGAAGCUGUGAGGGGGAAAUAAUAACUAGAGAUUAAAAUAUAAACAUUCAAAAAUACAGUAACUUAAUGAGCAUUGGGUCAAAACAAGUAGAAAUCUUGGCUCCAUUUAAUGAGCACCUCCCAAGUUCCAGUCACUAGAGAUAUUCUUCAGGUGGUAUUUGUAAACCUAGGGAGGAUUGUACCUCCAUAGUCCUUUUAAUCUCUCAGAUUCUGGGUUAGCAGUUACUUGGGUAAUGACUAAUUUUCUUUUCUAGCAAAAACUACAGUGAGUUUUGAAGUCAAUUUAAAUGAAGAUAAUGAUCAUUAGUCCAAAUACUGUUUUCAUUAGUUCUCCUUUACCUAAGUCCCAAUGUUUCCUUUUUUAAAUUAAAGAGUUCUAAUGCAACUUAAAUAAGUUCUUGGUCAUUAUAUUCUAAAUUACUAAUUCAUUAAAUCCUACAAUUUUAAAUCUGCUCAAGCCCCCUUAUUCUUCAAGAAAAGAGAUUGAGCCUCAAAGAAGUUAAGUUGCACAUCCAAAAUAAUGUUUCACAGUAAUGACCUAGUCAGGACCAGAAUCCAGGUCUCUUGACUCUUAUUUUACUAUAGCAUGUCUCCACUCUCAUGCUAUAAGUUCUCUUUUUCUUGUGCUGUCUUCUCAAUUCUUUUGUAUUUACAAGUUGAAAAAGAAAUUCUCAGAGGUCCAUUUGGAGCCUGCCAUGUGAAUAAAAAGUAUGGCUCUUGAAGAAUAGAAGCUCAUCUUGAAAGAGAUGAUGAGUCGAGUGUGCAGUAAUACCAUUUUUGCAGGAUCACUAACAGAAGAGUAUGGCAUAAUGUGUAUUGGAUUUUAAUUUUAUUUCAGAAUGUAUUUUCUGUCAAAUUUCAUAAUAAAAUCUCAGCAAAGUCUGUUUGUCUUUUAUAUCACAGUACUUCCUGUGGAUGCAUUUCUUUUUCCAUAGAACCAUCUUUUUCUUACAUUGGAAGAAUGUAAAAAGAUCUUUCCAGAAAUAACUUGUUGUUUGAUUCCUAACAUAAAGUAAAUUAAUCCAAAUUAAAUUACUGAAAUAAUUUCUUUGUCAAAUAUUGUUUGAAUAGAACUGCUAACAUGGCAGUCCUGUUCACAAAGAUGGUACUGAAAGCGAAGAAGGAAGCUGCUGACCCUCCCAAACCUGAAGCCAAAGCAAAGGCUUUGAAGGCCAAGAAAGCAGUGCUGAAAGGUGUUCACAAUCACAAAAAAGAAGAAGAAGAUGCAGAUGUGCAGAUGCACAUCACAGCAUUCCGAUGGCCCAAGACACUGCAUUCUCCAAAAGCAGCCCAAAUAGCCUCGAAAGAGCACCCCCAGGAGAAACAAGCGUGACCACUGUGCCUCCAUCAAGUCCCCCUAAUCACUGAGUCAGCCAAGAAGAAAAUAGACAAUAACACAACUUGUGUUCAUUCUGGAUGCCAGGGCCAACAAGCACCAGAUCAAACAGGCUGUGAAGAAGGUCUUUGACAUUGUUGUGGCCAAGGUCAACACCCUGAUUAGGCCCAGUGGAGAGAAGAAGGCAUAUGUUCAACUGGCUCCUGACUGUGAUGCUUUGGAUGUUGCCAACAAAGUUGGGAUCACCUAAGCUGAGUCCAGCUGGCUAAAUCUAAAUAUA